rnacentral:rRNA from 1 species
GAUGAACGCUGGCGGCGUGCCUAAUACAUGCAAGUCGAGCGAACAGACGAGGAGCUUGCUCCUCUGACGUUAGCGGCGGACGGGUGAGUAACACGUGGAUAACCUACCUAUAAGACUGGGAUAACUUCGGGAAACCGGAGCUAAUACCGGAUAAUAUAUUGAACCGCAUGGUUCAAUAGUGAAAGACGGUUUUGCUGUCACUUAUAGAUGGAUCCGCGCCGCAUUAGCUAGUUGGUAAGGUAACGGCUUACCAAGGCAACGAUGCGUAGCCGACCUGAGAGGGUGAGCGGCCACACUGGAACUAAAACACGGUCCAGCCUCCUGCGAGAGGCAGCAGUAGGGAAUCUUCCGCAAUGGGCGAAGGCCUGACGAAGCAACGCCGCGUGAUUGAUGAAGGUCUUCGGAUCGUAAAACUCUGUUAUUAGGGAAGAACAAAUGUGUAAGUAACUAUGCACGUCUAGACGGUACCUAAUCAGAAAACCACGGCUAACUUCGUG